rnacentral:lncRNA from 1 species
CAAGGAGGGAGGAACGAGAGCUGCCUUACCUAGAAUUCUGCUUCUUUUCUUUCUCUGGAAAUGAGAUUGUGCUUGCACCACAUCUCAUGCUGGCAAGAUGAAAGUGUCACAGGUGAACCUGAUUGGAUGAUGUGUUUCCUGCAAAACUUCCAAGCCCUGCGUCCACACUGGCUAUAAAGGCCAAAGGAGUUAAUGUAGACCUGCUUGAACCUGAGUGAGAAACUAGUCGAGACUAUCAAGAAUCUUACAGCUGAGUGACCUGAACCAUAUCACUGAAGCAGCCCUGGAAGAACACCAGCCUUUAGUAAAGAUUUUUUUUUUUUUUUUCUUCAAGGCCACAGGUUCAGUGAACUGAGCACUGCCAGG